rnacentral:lncRNA from 1 species
GUGAAAUUGACUGGAGCAUUCUACCUAGAGAAGCGGAGAUUGGACCAUACCUGAUUUUUUUAAACACUGCUACCUCACAUGAAAAAGGUGGUGAAAUGUAUUAAGUGAGAACAUAUCAAGAGGUUCCUGAGAAGCAGACCUAGUAGUGCAAAAUUUUUCACUUGUCUUCCCUCCAGUACCUACUUUGCCCAUUUCCCAGGUUUACAUUAAGAAGACUAAAGAGUUAUCAAAACUUCACUUUCCUGCCUGUCUGUAACCACAUCAAUUCAUCAAACCCAUAAAUUCCAGGCAGCAGUGUGUACCUCCUGUCUGAAUGUGAAAAGCAGCUUUCUGGACAUGCAAAAGUCCCUAUUCUGGCCUGGAGGAAAGCUUUCAGCAUGAACCAAGCGGGAGACCUGACAGCAGCUACAGAGAACUCAAGAGGAAGCAAAAGCCUCUGACACAUUUUAGGACGUUUUGUCACCAGAGAUGAAGAGGCAUGUUUGAGUCCAGCAAAAAAAGAAAAGACAAAGAAAGUGAGGCAUUUUUACUUAACCUUUAAAAAGGAUGAUCUUGUCCUGAACUGGAAAAGGUAGGGGCUUCUGUUAUUCUGAUCCAAUUCACUAGACUGUGUAUGUAUGUGUUCAAAAUAAAAAAGUUUGUGAUUGCUGCUUUAU